GAUGAACGCUGGCGGCGUGCCUAAUACAUGCAAGUCGAGCGAACGGACGAGAAGCUUGCUUUUCGGAUGUUAGCGGCGGACGGGUGAGUAACACGUGGAUAACCUACCUAUAAGACUGGGAUAACUUCGGGAAACCGGAGCUAAUACCGGAUAAUAUUUUGAACCGCAUGGUUCAAAAGUGAAAGACGGUCUUGCUGUCACUUAUAGAUGGAUCCGCGCUGCAUUAGCUAGUUGGUAAGGUAACGGCUUACCAAGGCAACGAUGCAUAGCCGACCUGAGAGGGUGAUCGGCCACACUGGAACUGAGACACGGUCCAGACUCCUACGGGAGGCAGCAGUAGGGAAUCUUCCGCAAUGGGCGAAAGCCUGACGGAGCAACGCCGCGUGAGUGAUGAAGGUCUUCGGAUCGUAAAACUCUGUUAUUAGGGAAGAACAUAUGUGUAAGUAACUGUGCACAUCUUGACGGUACCUAAUCAGAAAGCCACGGCUAACUACGUGCCAGCAGCCGCGGUAAUACGUAGGUGGCAAGCGUUAUCCGGAAUUAUUGGGCGUAAAGCGCGCGUAGGCGGUUUUUUAAGUCUGAUGUGAAAGCCCACGGCUCAACCGUGGAGGGUCAUUGGAAACUGGAAAACUUGAGUGCAGAAGAGGAAAGUGGAAUUCCAUGUGUAGCGGUGAAAUGCGCAGAGAUAUGGAGGAACACCAGUGGCGAAGGCGACUUUCUGGUCUGUAACUGACGCUGAUGUGCGAAAGCGUGGGGAUCAAACAGGAUUAGAUACCCUGGUAGUCCACGCCGUAAACGAUGAGUGCUAAGUGUUAGGGGGUUUCCGCCCCUUAGUGCUGCAGCUAACGCAUUAAGCACUCCGCCUGGGGAGUACGACCGCAAGGUUGAAACUCAAAGGAAUUGACGGGGACCCGCACAAGCGGUGGAGCAUGUGGUUUAAUUCGAAGCAACGCGAAGAACCUUACCAAAUCUUGACAUCCUUUGACAACUCUAGAGAUAGAGCCUUCCCCUUCGGGGGACAAAGUGACAGGUGGUGCAUGGUUGUCGUCAGCUCGUGUCGUGAGAUGUUGGGUUAAGUCCCGCAACGAGCGCAACCCUUAAGCUUAGUUGCCAUCAUUAAGUUGGGCACUCUAAGUUGACUGCCGGUGACAAACCGGAGGAAGGUGGGGAUGACGUCAAAUCAUCAUGCCCCUUAUGAUUUGGGCUACACACGUGCUACAAUGGACAAUACAAAGGGCAGCGAAACCGCGAGGUCAAGCAAAUCCCAUAAAGUUGUUCUCAGUUCGGAUUGUAGUCUGCAACUCGACUACAUGAAGCUGGAAUCGCUAGUAAUCGUAGAUCAGCAUGCUACGGUGAAUACGUUCCCGGGUCU
rnacentral:rRNA from 1 species